rnacentral:rRNA from 1 species
UACGUAGGCAGCGAGCGUUGUUCGGAGUUACUGGGCGUAAAGGGUGCGUAGGCGGGUCUUUAAGUCAGGGGUGAAAUCCUGGAGCUCAACUCCAGAACUGCCUUUGAUACUGAGAAGCUUGAGUCCGGGAGAGGUGAGUGGAACUGCGAGUGUAGAGGUGGAAUUCGUAGAUAUUCGCAAGAACACCAGUGGCGAAGGCGGCUCACUGGCCCGGUACUGACGCUGAGGUGCGAAAGCGUGGGGAGCAAACAGG